rnacentral:rRNA from 1 species
UACAGAGGUCUCAAGCGUUGUUCGGAUUCAUUGGGCGUAAAGGGUGCGUAGGCGGCGCGGUAAGUCGGGUGUGAAAUCUUGGAGCUUAACUCCGAAACUGCAUUCGAUACUGCCGUGCUUGAGGACUGGAGAGGAGACUGGAAUUUACGGUGUAGCGGUGAAAAUGCGUAGAUAUCGUAAGGAAGACCAGUGGCGAAGGCGGGUCUCUGGACAGU